UGUGAUCAGUGAUGACAUUUUAUUACAAUGAGGACUGUUGGAUGACUCUAGCGGAUAUGGGACUGAGAUCAGGC